AACCUGGUUGAUCCUGCCAGUAGUCAUAUGCUUGUCUCAAAGACUAAGCCAUGCAUGUCUAAGUAUAAAUGCUAUACAAUGAAACUGCGAAUGGCUCAUUAAAACAGUUAUAGUUUAUUUGGUAAUCGAAUUUACAUGGAUAACCGUGGUAAUUCUAGAGCUAAUACAUGCUGUAAAGCCCGACUUUUGGAAGGGCCGUAUUUAUUAGAUAACAGACCAAUAUUCCUCGUGUCUAUUGUGGUGAAUCAUAGUAACUAAUCGGAUCGUAUGGGCUUCGCCCUCGACAAACCAUUCAAGUUUCUGCCCCAUCAGCUUUCGAUGGUAGUGUAUUGGACUACCAUGGCUUUCACGGGUAACGGAGGAUUAGGGUUCGAUUCCGGAGAGGGAGCCUGAGAAACGGCUACCACAUCUAAGGAAGGCAGCAGGCGCGUAAAUUACCCAAUUCUGAUUCAGAGAGGUAGUGACAAGAAAUAACGGGUCGGGACUUUGUCCCGGGACUGCAAUGAACCGAAUCUACACACCUUAGCCAGCAACAAUUGGAGGGCAAGUCUGGUGCCAGCAGCCGCGGUAAUUCCAGCUCCAAUAGC
rnacentral:rRNA from 1 species